UUUCCUACGGGGCGCAGCAGUGGGGAAUAUUGCACAAUGGGGGAAACCCUGAUGCAGCGACGCCGCGUGAGUGAAGAAGUAUCUCGGUACGUAAAGCUCUAUCAGCAGGAAAGAAAAUGACGGUACCUGACUAAGAAGCCCCGGCUAACUACGUGCCAGCAGCCGCGGUAAUACGUAGGGGGCAAGCGUUAUCCGGAUUUACUGGGUGUAAAGGGAGCGUAGACGGCAGGGCAAGUCUGGAGUGAAAGGCAGGGGCCCAACCCCUGGACUGCUCUGGAAACUGUCCGGCUGGAGUGCAGGAGAGG
rnacentral:rRNA from 1 species